rnacentral:lncRNA from 1 species
GCUCGUGGUCCACAGGGCAGUUCUGGUCCAGUACAGGCUGGGCAGACUCCCCAGGCAUCCGCAUUGGGCUCGGAAUCAGCUCUUGGCCGGGCACUGGCUGCAAGGAGGACCCCAGGCCGUGUGCCUCAUUCCAGGACAGAGCCCGGAGUCUGCAGUCAGCACGGCCAUGGAAGGGAGUCAUGGCGGCCAAGUGCCAGGGUCAGGGAUGUGCACUCGGCCCCGGCACUAAUGCACUAGACCACAGAGGGGAGGCAAGGGUCACGCUCAAGCCCGAGUGUGCUUACAGCUGGCCAGGCACACGGGGGGCCAGGUCAUCCCAACCAUGCACGGGCCCUGGAGGCUGCUUUGCGGAAAACCGGAACCCAGACAUGCAAAUUCUGUUCGCACCACCUGAAUGCCACUCUGCGUGCAUACACACGCCCUCACACUUGCAUGCGUGUGCACUCACCCGCCCCUGCUCCACCAUCGCAGAGCCAGGACUGCAGCCCCUCUGGAGCAGGGACAGGAGAGCAGGGCCCCCGAGCCUCCCUCCAUGUCGGACAGUGUGGGAACCCAGCCCAGCUCUGCCACCCACAGGCACCCGGACUCCUGCUUCUCUGGGCCCAGGGCCCCUCCUGUGGCUGGGGGAUGGGAGCUCGAUGUUCCCCAGGGACCUCGGGGCUGGGGAGGUGGUGAAGGCUCCCAGCAGGGGAUGGGAGGCAGCACAGCGAUUCCCAAGCUCACAGAACAGGAGGAAGCGUGAACUGGGGCGGAGGCAGCGGGCACACAGCGGGCACAGCAGCAGCCAAGUUUCUCACCCUGGGCCCAGGGGAGAGGCUACCAACUAUGCGUGCGCUCCCGCCUGUGUCUGUGCAAGGUGUGAUCAAGAGCGCAGUGAGUGCUGCUGCCGAACGCCAUGUAAUGGGCAGAAAAACAAGACGCUGCGUCCUCGUCCACCUUGUUCACCAGGUCUGGCACCCAGACUUCCGGCUCUGCCCAAAGUCAAGGUGACUGUGAAAGGUCGACGUUUUGAAUCAAUUGAGGAUAUCAAGGCAGCCAUGACAGUGCGACACAGGCCCUCAGGAAAGAGGACUCCAGAGCUGCUGCAGGAGGGGCCGGGACAGUGGGAUGAGUGUGUUGAGGGGAGGACGGGGGGGGGGGCUCGGGGCCACGUGACUCUUGCUGCAAUGCUUCUAUUUAUUUGAGCAUUCACUGAGCUUUUUUCGAUCACACCUAGUAUAAGACCCAGGGUUUCUGCCCUGUGUUUUCAGGGCCUUCCAUGGAGCUGCCUCCAGGCCCCCAUGGCUGUCCCGCAGCCUGUGGGGAAUCUCUCUGUGUUUCCCAGCUAAAGGUCCAAUGCGAUCCAUGAACAAGACACCCACCAGGACAGACGGCCGGCCUCUGCCCCAGGACGCUUGCAUGGCAGGUGCAGAGUGUGCAGCUCAGUGAGGGGUGUAGCAGGUCUCAGACAGGG